UUGUUUGCUAAACUGUUGACGACAACGGAGUUGCACAGUCUAUACGGUGCUGCCACGUAGCAAAGUAGGUCUACGUUUCUGUUUGAGCAAUUAAUUCUGCAGUUGUGGUGAAUAUUCAGUUCGGUGAUACAGCUCUGACAUUCGCGUUAUAAACAUGGAUUACAGACAAAUGGUGACGAUAGUUCUCUUGAUGAUGAUGCUGGUGGUGACAGGAGUUGGUUCCGCCUGGUUUGGUUCCUUGGCUUGCUGUGGUGCUAGAGCAGGUGUCGGUUAUAUUGGAGGCGUAAUUUUUACAAGCGCGUUCGAUUCGUUCGUGUGUAAAUGUGGUGAAUAAAGACACGGUUGCUGCAAACCAGUAUACACUACAUAAGAUGAUGACAGGAUUUUGUUUCUCGGUAGCCUUAUUUCAACUCACACAUGUCUCAAUUAUUGUCUUUCUUACUUGUUUAUACACUUCAUUGGUCUAGAUUAUCAAAAUGAUGGCAGGAUACACAAGGGCCAGAAUUAGAUCAAGUCAAUGUGUAUUUUCUUAAUAUCUACAAAAUUGGACAGAAAGUCAGAAUGUUCUAGGAAAGGGUAUUCUAGUGCGGAAAGGUGGACUAUUUUUUCGGGUAUAUAAUGGAGAUUAGUCGUAUGCAGUCAAUGGGCAUAAUUAUGAUCCAAACAAAAUUCAAUUUGUAAUAUUUAAUUAUUAUCUUCUUGUGUCAGUGUUGUUGUUUUCUAAGUUUAUUAAAAAAAAAUACAUAGACAAAAUGUCU